AUGAACGCUGGCGGCGUGCGUAAUACAUGCACGUCGAGCGAACGGACGAGAAGCUUGCUUCUCUGAUGUUAGCGGCGGACGGGUGAGUAACACGUGGAUAACCUACCUAUAAGACUGGGAUAACUUCGGGAAACCGGAGCUAAUACCGGAUAAUAUUUUGAACCGCAUGGUUCAAAAGUGAAAGACGGUCUUGCUGUCACUUAUAGAUGGAUCCGCGCUGCAUUAGCUAGUUGGUAAGGUAACGGCUUACCAAGGCAACGAUGCAUAGCCGACCUGAGAGGGUGAUCGGCCACACUGGAACUGAGACACGGUCCAGACUCCUACGGGAGGCAGCAGUAGGGAAUCUUCCGCAAUGGGCGAAAGCCUGACGGAGCAACGCCGCGUGAGUGAUGAAGGUCUUCGGAUCGUAAAACUCUGUUAUUAGGGAAGAACAUAUGUGUAAGUAACUGUGCACAUCUUGACGGUACCUAAUCAGAAAGCCACGGCUAACUACGUG
rnacentral:rRNA from 1 species